AAGGUCUGGUUAGGCCCCAGUGAGACUAAUGAAAUCACCAAUGCCAACUCUCCUCAGCAGAUCCGAAAGCUGAUCAAAGAUGGGCUGAUCAUCCGCAAGCCUGUGACGGUCCAUUCCCGGGCACGAUGCCGGAAAAAUACCUUGGCCCGCCGGAAGGGGAGGCAUAUGGGCAUAGGUAAGCGGAAGGGUACAGCCAAUGGCCGAAUGCCAGAGAAGGUCACGUGGAUGAGGAGAAUGAGGAUUCUGCGCCUGCUGCUCAGAAGAUACCAUGAGUCUAAGAAGAUUGAUCGCCACAUGUAUCACAGCCUGUACCUGAAGGUGAAGGGGAAUGUGUUCAAAAACAAGCGUAUUCUCAUGGAACACAUCCACAAGCUGAAGGCAGACAACGCCCGCAAGAAGCUCCUGGCUGACCAGGCUGAGGCCCGCAGGUCUAAGACCAAGGAAGCACGCAAGCGCUGUGAAGAGCGCCUCCAGGCCAAGAAGGAGGAGAUUAUCAAGACUUUGUCCAAGGAGGAAGAGACCAAGAAAUAAAAGCUCCCCCUUUGUCUGUACAUACUGGCCUCCGUGAUUACAUAGAUCAGCCAUGAAAAUAAAACAAGCCUU